AAUUUUGGACAAUGGGCGCAAGCCUGAUCCAGCCCUGCCGCGUGAGUGAAGAAGUCCUUCGGGUUGUAGAGCUCUUUCGGACGGAAAGAAAUCGCGCAGGCUAAUACCCUGCGCGGAUGCCGGUCCAGUCAUAAGAAGCACCGCCCAACUACUUGCCAGCCGCGGCGGUAAUACGUAGGGUGCGAGCGUGAAUCGGAAUUACUGGGCGUAAAGCGGGCGCAGGCGGUUGAUUAAGACAGGCGUGAAAUCCCCGGGCUUAAACUGGGAACUGCGCUUGUGACUGGUCAGCUAGAGUACGGCAGAGGGGGGUGGGAUUCCACGUGUAGCAGUGAAAUGCGUAGAGAUGUGGAGGAACACCGAUGGCGAAGGCAGCCCCCUGGGCCGAUACUGACGCUCAUGCACGAAAGCGUGGGUAGCAAACAGG
rnacentral:rRNA from 1 species